UCCCUGGUGGCUCAGAUGGUAAAGAAUCCACCUGUGAUGUGGGAGAUCUGGGUUCGAUCCCUGGCUUGGAAA
rnacentral:tRNA from 1 species